rnacentral:misc_RNA from 1 species
UUGAUUCAUUUGUUUUGAUUCAGAUAAUCGUGUUCAAGAGUUUGAAAUGUUUCCAUCGGCAGGCACACGCAGGCCUAGGCAAGCGAUGGCAUGGUAUGCCAAAGACCCGCCGAAGCAACAGAGGUAGGUAGAUUGGGUUUGGAAUCGGGCCUGCCGAAGCUGACCCUUUUCUCUGUAAUGAUCCUUCCGCAGGUUCACCUACGGAAA